GCAUAUCAAAUAAAGCGGGAGGAAAAAGAAAACCCAACAGGGAUUGCCCCCAGUAACGGCGAAGUGAAGCGGCAACAGCUCAAAUUUGAAAUCUGGCCCCCCCCGGGUCCGAGUUGUAAUUUGUAGAGGAUGCUUUUGGUGAGGUGCCGCCCGAGUUCCCUGGAACGGGACGCCACAGAGGGUGAGAGCCCCGUCUGGCUGGCCACCGAGCCUCUGUAAAGCUCCUUCGACGAGUCGAGUAGUUUGGGAAUGCUGCUCAAAAUGGGAGGUAUAUGUCUUCUAAAGCUAAAUAUUGGCCAGAGACCGAUAGCGCACAAGUAGAGUGAUCGAAAGAUGAAAAGCACCUUGAAAAGAGGGUUAAAUAGUACGUGAAAUUGUUGAAAGGGAAGCGCUUGUGACCAGACUUGGGCGCGGCGGAUCAUCCGGGGUUCUCUCCGGUGCACUUCGCCGCGUUCAGGCCAGCAUCAGUUCGUCGCGGGGGAUAAAGGCUUCGGGAACGUGGCUCCUCCGGGAGUGUUAUAGCCCGUUGCAUAAUACCCUGCGGUGGACUGAGGACCGCGCAUCUGCAAGGAUGCUGGCGUAAUGGUCACCAGCGACCCGUCUUGAAACACGGACCAAGGAGUCGUCUUCGUAUGCGAGUGUUCGGGUGUCAAACCCCUACGCGUAAUGAAAGUGAACGCAGGUGAGAGCUUCGGCGCAUCAUCGACCGAUCCUGAUGUUCUCGGACGGAUUUGAGUAAGAGCAUACGGGGCCGGACCCGAAAGAAGGUGAACUAUGCCUGUAUAGGGUGAAGCCAGAGGAAACUCUGGUGGAGGCUCGCAGCGGUUUCUGACGUGCAAAUCGAUCGUCAAAUAUGGGCAUGGGGGGCGAAAGACUAAUCGAACCUUCUAGUAGCUGGUUUCCGCCG
rnacentral:rRNA from 1 species